rnacentral:tRNA from 3 species
GACCAUAUAGCUCAGAUGGUUAGAGCGCUACAUUGACAUUGUAGAGGUCCGUGGUUCGAAUCCACGUAUGGUCACAA